AGUGUUGCACGCUUUGGGUGUUCAUCGAGCCUCCUUGUCAGUGCACUUUCUCAGAGUGGUCACCACGACCGACGCCGCUGUCAGGCUGUCAUAGUUAAACCGGUCUUGUAGUGUCCUUGUGGCAUUGCCUGGUCGGGAUGGCAGGUAGCUUGUUGGCUCGCUUCGGCUUGCUUUCGAGUGUAAUCAGCUGACUGUGACGGUUCUGUGCAGUGCGUCGGAGACGGCGGCCAGUGGUGUGUGCAUGCGUGCCCGAUUUGUUGGCGUACCCUGGUUUGGUUUCUGUGUUGCCUGUGAUAGCAGGCCUAGUUAUGGCUGGGGUUCGUUCGGCGAAUGGUUGCGUGUGUGGCACUUCCAAGGGCCAAUAGUCUGUGGUG
rnacentral:rRNA from 1 species